rnacentral:lncRNA from 1 species
CAGGUCUCUGGGCCAGACAGGAAAGAUGGGUUGGCUCUACUUUCUCUCCAAACUUGGGUAUCUGGAUAGAUAGACUGGUUUUGCUUCACCCCAGCCCACCUACUUCCAGCAAAAGAAGUCAGACACACCUUCCCAGCCUGCUGUACAGACAGGUGCUGGAACUCUGCCUUAAGCCAGGUAGGCCCAAAGGGAAAUGAACCAGUAGCAGCCUGGUAAUAGAUGAGCUCUUUCCAGAAGUUACUGGGGCCUAGAGUGGCCUUCAGAUGGUCGGUUUUGGCAAAAAGUGUGUCUGCACCCAGCAUGCCCUUGCCAGAUUUAUUGAGCACAAUAAGAUUCUAAACACAAUGUCCUGAACCUGCUACUUCAAAACAUGAGACCAACCCGGGCUACAUGUGAACUUGUCUCAAAAACAAACUACCACCACCACCACCAACAACAACAACAAUGAAACAAACCCAGCUGGUGGUGGUAAGUACAUGCCUGUGAGCCUAGAAUUUGGGAAGGGCGUCAGGAGGAUCAGGAAUAACGGUCACCUUGGGCACUUAAUGAGUCUAAGGCUAGCCUAGCCUAAGUUACAUGAGAGCCCAUCUCAAAACAGGGUCCAUCAGAUAAAGUCAUUUUCGAGAAUCUGUUUGAGACAUGGAAGGGAGAGCCAGUUCCUGAAGACUAUCCUCUGACCACCACCACCACCACACACACACACACACACACACACACACACACACACACACACACACGGCACAUGCUCACACACACACAUAAGUAAUUAAUUACAAAUUUAAAGCAGAGGCUGAAGAGAUGUCUCAGUGGUUAAGAGCACUUGCCUGCUUUUUCAGAGGACCCAGGUUUGGUUUCCAACAUCUGCAUGGCAGCCAUUAAAGGUCUGGGACUUCAGCUCCAGGGGCUUUAGUGCUCUCUUCUUGACUCUGAGGUGACCUCUCUAGCACACACACAAUUAAAAUAAAUGUCAGGCUGGAGAGACA